rnacentral:rRNA from 1 species
UACAGAGGUCUCAAGCGUUGUUCGGAUUCAUUGGGCGUAAAGGGUGUGUAGGUGGCGCCGUAAGUCGGGUGUGAAAUUUCGGAGCUUAACUCCGAAACUGCAUUCGAUACUGGUGUGCUUGAGGACUGGAGAGGAGACUGGAAUUCAUGGUGUAGCAGUGAAAUGCGUAGAGAUCAUGAGGAAGACCAGUGGCGAAGGCGGGUCUCUGGACAGUUCCUGACACUGAGGCACGAAGGCCAGGGGAGCAAACGGG